rnacentral:rRNA from 1 species
CAAACAGGAUUAGAUACCCUGGUAGUCCACGCCGUAAACGAUGAGUGCUAAGUGUUGGAGGGUUUCCGCCCUUCAGUGCUGCAGCUAACGCAUUAAGCACUCCGCCUGGGGAGUACGACCGCAAGGUUGAAACUCAAAGGAAUUGACGGGGGCCCGCACAAGCGGUGGAGCAUGUGGUUUAAUUCGAAGCAACGCGAAGAACCUUACCAGGUCUUGACAUCCUUUGACCACUCUAGAGAUAGAGCUUCCCCUUCGGGGGGCAAAGUGACAGGUGGUGCAUGGUUGUCGUCAGCUCGUGUCGUGAGAUGUUGGGUUAAGUCCCGCAACGAGCGCAACCCUUAUUGUUAGUUGCCAUCAUUCAGUUGGGCACUCUAGCAAGACUGCCGGUGACAAACCGGAGGAAGGUGGGGAUGACGUCAAAUCAUCAUGCCCCUUAUGACCUGGGCUACACACGUGCUACAAUGGGAAGUACAACGAGUUGCGAAGUCGCGAGGCUAAGCUAAUCUCUUAAAGCUUCUCUCAGUUCGGAUUGCAGGCUGCAACUCGCCUGCAUGAAGCCGGAAUCGCUAGUAAUCGCGGAUCAGCACGCCGCGGUGAAUACGUUCCCGGGCCUUGUACACACCGCCCGUCACACCACGAGAGUUUGUAACACCCGAAGUCGGUGAGGUAACCUUUUNGGAGCCAGCCGCCUAAGGUGGGAUAGAUGAUUGGGGUGAAGUCGUAACAAGGUAGCCGUAUCGGAAGGUGCGGCUGGAUCACCUCCUUUCUAAGGAA